GCAGCUCCAGCGGUGUGGAGAAAACAUGGACCGCUAUGAGGAUUUCUGCGCACGCAUUCUGUGUGAACUGCAGUCGGAAAUGAUGCACGAGAGGAGCUGCAGUAGCGCACCUGCUCGAGGGGUGGCGCACUCGCUCAUCUGCUUCCACGGCAGGCCGCUUUUGUCUCCUGUUGUGAGUACAAGACAUGAUAUGUGAUGCUGUACAUGACAAGUGGGCUCUCAGAAAAAAAGGUACCCUUUCAAAAGCUACUAUUUAUAUGUAGCCACAUUACUAAUAGGAACUUUUAAGGUACUAAUAUCAUGUACCAUUUAGGAGCAUGCAAGUUACAGAGAUGUACUUUUAGCUUUCAUUAGGUACUGCCCAGUAACAACUUACCCUUUUUCUGAGAGUGUAAUUUUUUCUUCUUCUUAUGUAUCAUAAUGUUAGGUUUAAUGCGGUGUGACUGCAAUACUAAUGGUUCAAGGUCUCUGUCAUAAUUUUUGACAGUUUAUUUUCUUUGUGAUGAUAAACUUUAAGGUCUUAGCGCAAGAAAAAUAAUAGUCAUGAAACGUUAAUUAAUAAAAAAAUACUUCAUAUUUAAGUCAAUUGCACAUUAAAAAUUAGCAGAGCAUUGUCUUUUAUUUUAAGUUGUCUGUUGAUUGAUUUUGCCUUCUGUGUUUCCAGCUAAGUGAGAAACAAAGAAGGGAGAUGGUUGAAUACAAGAAAAGAGCUUCACAAAUGGAGGCCGAGAGACAGAUUCAUUACAACAAAAACCUCCUCAAUCAGAUUCAGUCCAUUCUUUGGACCAAUAAGGCACCAAAAAUAUUGGACGUGCCAAAGCCUUCAGAGCAGUGCCUGUCUCCAUCUCCAUCUCCAAAAACAGACUACAGGGAUGGCUUUACAGUACCUGAUGCUGCAGACAUUACACCUGCUGGGGCCACAGAGCCCUACAUUUUGUCUAAUGAGCAACCGGUGACCCCUUCAGCUGAGCUGCCUGGGGUGAUGAGAAGAAAAUCCACAGAAGAAAAACAAAUGCAAGAGGAAAUUCAAACGGAAGGAGUUUGUCUGCAGAACCUGCUGAAGAAAUCACGUGAAUUUAUGGAAAAAGAGCAAGGUAAACUGGGGUCAAAGGUCAUCAGCAACACAAUGGCUGAUCCAAGCAGGAUCCUUUCUGAAAGCCCGCCGGAUAAGGAAAACGGCUGUUCUUUGGAUGGGACUGCCUUUGGUUUACCCUUUUAUAUUCCCUCACCAAACCAAACCUCUCCUAGUAACCUGAUAAGCCCAGAUCCUGGUCUAAAGGCCAGUUUAAUUGCCAAACCCCACCGUGGACGUCCUCGUCCCAUUUCUGCCGGGAGCAUCUUCUUUUCUUUCCUUGAAAACCCCAACCAGCCGAACAUUACAGCGAAUGCAAGGACACCGGAAGUCAAAACAAUCGCAUCUCAGGACAGGAAGCUACUCGAAGUGGAAAAUGUGUGUAUGGGUCGAUGUGAUGAUCACUCGACUGUGGGACGACUGGAAACGUCUCCAGUGGAUCCUGAGCUCACAAGCCCUCUGUUUCGAAGGAGAUGCCACACGCUGGAUAGCCACCUGUCCUCACGUCAUCAGAGUCCCGUCAUAGACCGGAGCCAGGAGAGAAUGCCUCGCUUUAUGGCCGGGGUCACUGCGAGAACACCCACUCGACUGUCUCCUCCUUCACCGAUGAACAAGACUUUCACACGGGACAGUCCUGUAGCAGCAUUUAUGGGGUCUGGGAUCACCCAGACUCUUCCUUCUCGGGCCAAACUACCUUUUGAGACCGCGAGAAACAAUGUUGUAUUCGGUUAGAACCAAAUGAGUUUCAAGUAUAAUGAUAUCAUAGGAGAACAUGUAAAGUUCUGAAAGAUCUUUAAAUCUAGGUUCUUUAGGACAUCAUCAAAAUGCCAAGGUCCCCUGAAAUAUGAUGAUCCCCUGGCAAAGGACCUUCCUAAAAUAUAGAACAUUUUUAGAAAAUUUAUUAAUUGGCAUUUGUGAGGUCAUUGUACUAAAGCAGAAAAAAAUUCUUAAAAUAUGUAUAGAAAUAUUUCCAUACACACUACGAAUCAAAAGUCUAGAUUUUAUAUAUAUAUAUAUAUAUAUAUAUAUAUAUAUAUAUAUAUAAUUAUACAUAUAUUUUUCAUAUAAUUGUCUGUGACUUCUCUUAUAAACCAGCAAUUUAUUUUAUUGUAAAUACCAAAAACAGGUUCAAUAAUCUUCACUAAACCUGACACACCAGAUUUUAGUCUGAUAUUCAAAGCAAUACUUUUUAACUCUUCUACUAGUUAAAAGAUGUAGAGAUGAAAAGCAGAAAGCAGAUGAAAUGAUGGUAAAAUAAUUACAUAGAUUUUUAUUGAAUAAUCUUAGUUCUGUCGUGACAACUCUCGGAGGGACUGGCAUGGUAAUGUACAGGACAAUGUUACUGUGUUUGGUCUUGGUGGAAUAGAUCUGCUACACUGCUGCUGCUGCUACUGUUGCAGAGCAUGUACCGAGAUUUGCUACUGCCAAUACAUCCACAACAUGCUGCUGUAAGCACGUAAGAAAUACUGCUGCACAUAUAACACAUAUGAAUAACCCCCAUAUAGCAUACAUGAAUCACCUCAUAGCAGAUCUAUACAGGUGGAGCUGGGGAAAGUGGAGGGUUUCUGAAGCAAGCUGCAAACUGCUAUGGCAAACAAAUGCCAGGUAUUUGAGUAUUGAGCAGUAAGCUUUUUGGUUACCAGGAGAGAACCAAUCAUCUGCCAUGUGAUAAUGAUGUCACCAGGUCAGAUUGAACUAGACGUAUCAGACUGUGCCAUCUAGACUUUCAUGCCAGAAAUCUGUAUUUGAAUCUCACCCUUCAAUUUCAUCUUCAUUUUACCAGCAUACAUUCUACAUCUGUUACUUAACCAAGCACAUAUGUACAUACAUAUAUACAUAAAUAAGUACGCAGUAACAGUGAAAUUAUAUAAAAUUAAAAGUAUAUGAAUGUUGAAUAUAUUAAGAAAUUAGUAGGCCAAUAUAAUGAGAGAUUCUAUAAUUGAAGGAAAGAACACAAAAGAUGUCACACUAAAGGUGUUUACAGUAAUGCUAAAAAAAAAAAAUGACAGGGAAAAGUGUGUAAUAAAUUAACACUGCAUCCUGAUGUCCAACUAGCAAGUACAAGCAUAAUGUCAUCCAUAAACACUGACAGUUCAUCUAUUCACACAUGGCAUCUACCAGCAGGGUCUAAUUGGACUACUUGGCUUCUCUGUAAUUAGCAGAUUAGAAAGUGGAGGGUUUCUGAACCAAGCUGCAAACUGCUAUGGCAAACAAAUGCCAGGUAUUUGAGUAUUGAGCAGUAAGCUCAUUGGCUACCAGGAGAGAACCAAUCAGCUGCCAUGUGACUAUGAUGUCACUAGGUCAGAAUGAACUUGACAUAUCGGACUGUGCCAUCGAGACUUUCAUGCCAGAACUCUGUAUUUGAAUCUUCAUCAUACAUUAUACAUCUGUUAUGUAACCAAGCAUAUACGUACAUACAUAGAUGAAUUAUUAACUUUAAAUUCUUUAUAACUUUCUCUUGUCAGCUGUUGACCAUGACAGCACCCCACAGCCCUCCCCAAAUCCACACAAGUAAAACAUUUUUACAUGUUGUUAUAAUAUGUUAUUGAACAUUUUUACCAUUAAAACAAUUUAAGUUAACACUAGUCACAUAAUAAAUGUACACAUAACUUACCAUGUGUGUUUCUUUCGUCUCUGUCAUUGACUGCUCUCUUGUUUCUUUAUUGAUUGAAGGUUCACCUUAAGAAAUAUAAAAAUAAUAAUAAAUUACAUUAAUGAUUUUUAAACCACUUAGAUUUCUUAUUCUAUAUUAUAAAAUUUCUAACGGAUAUAUCAUUAAGGCCUAUUUCUAUCCACAAAUAUAUAUAUGGCAGCUAAAAUCAGCUGAAAUCCUAGUAGAAGCUAAUAGAAGGUUUUCAUGUCCAGAUUGGACUGGCAGAGAAUUUCCAAAUAACACAAUGGUCAGACUGGGAAAUGUUUGAUCUUGAACUGCCCUUAAAUUAAUCAGAAUGUAUCACAAUAUAAGAAAAAAUCUGAUCAUUUAUUUAUUCUUAAACGAGCAGUGCAGUGAUGAUUGUGUUUUCCUACACUGUAAAACCCGACAAGUAACUUAACUCAAACUGUUUGAGUAAACCGAUUGCCUUAAACCAUUUAAGUUUUAAAACUAACAGUUAUGAGUACUCUGAACUUAAUUCAGUUGAGUUCACUGAAAGAUACGGAAGUUCUAAGCGGCCAUCCAUUAUAAUUUUUUUCCUUUUGUUUUCUUCGUUAUAACGACUUAAUUUUCUUCGUUAUCUCGACAUAACGAAAGUCGUUUCUUCGUUAUAACGACUUAAUUUCUUUGUUAUCUCGACAUAACGA
rnacentral:lncRNA from 1 species